rnacentral:rRNA from 1 species
CCUCAGUGCUGCAGCUAACGCAUUAAGUAUUCCGCCUGGGGAGUACGACCGCAAGGUUGAAACUCAAAGGAAUUGACGGGGGCCCGCACAAGCGGUGGAGCAUGUGGUUUAAUUCGAAGCAACGCGAAGAACCUUACCAGGUCUUGACAUCUUCUGCCAAGCUGAGAGAUCAGCCGUUCCCUUCGGGGACAGAAUGACAGGUGGUGCAUGGUUGUCGUCAGCUCGUGUCGUGAGAUGUUGGGUUAAGUCCCGCAACGAGCGCAACCCUUAUGAUUAGUUGCCAGCAUUCAGUUGGGCACUCUAGUCAGACUGCCGGUGAUAAACCGGAGGAAGGCGGGGAUGACGUCAAAUCAUCAUGCCCCUUAUGACCUGGGCUACACACGUGCUACAAUGGGUGGUACAACGAGCAGCGAGACCGCGAGGUCAAGCGAAUCUCUAAAAACCAUCCUCAGUUCGGAUUGUAGGCUGCAACUCGCCUACAUGAAGCUGGAAUCGCUAGUAAUCGCGGAUCAGCACGCCGCGGUGAAUACGUUCCCGGGCCUUGUAC